UACGUAGGGUGCGAGCGUUAAUCGGAAUUACUGGGCGUAAAGCGUGCGCAGGCGGUUUGAUAAGACAGGCGUGAAAUCCCCGAGCUUAACUUGGGAAUGGCGCUUGUGACUGUCAGGCUAGAGUGCGUCAGAGGGGGGUAGAAUUCCACGUGUAGCAGUGAAAUGCGUAGAGAUGUGGAGGAAUACCGAUGGCGAAGGCAGCCCCCUGGGCUAACACUG
rnacentral:rRNA from 1 species